GCGCUAUAUACAUCAUCAUCAUCAAUAAUAAUUUUAAAUUGAUACUUCUCAAAAUAAAAAGCAAUUACGAAACCGAUUCGACAGACAGGUAAAACAUUAAAACAUUGGUUUAAAUCAUUGAUGUAUGUUUUUAUAGAGGAAAUCUAAAAUUUUACAAAACUGUCACCAUCCAGUCAAACAGAUCGAAAUUCGAAAAAAAAUGUUAAUAGAGGACUAAAUAUUACUGGAUAUAGUUUUGUUGGUUGUUACAAAAACUUACUCCAUGCUGAGUGCUAAGUAACCGAUGGGUACAUGUUGCUGACGAUAAAAAUGAUGAAAUAUUAUCAAUGUUAUACGCCUGAUUUUUUUGUUCUACCAAUAUUUUUAAUUUCACUAUCCUGUGUUCGUCCAAAUCAAACGGAGCCACUGCGAGAAAAGCGUCAGACAUUUUAGUCAAACGGCAGGCCGGCAACUAUAAACGCUCACCAAUUCGACGGAAACAAGGGAUGCCAAUGUUUAAGGAAUAAACGAAGAAUAACCACUAAAUACAAUAAUGCCACGUUAACUGACCGGGGAUGUAAUUCAUUAAUUGACCAUUUCUACCCACACCAGUUCUUGGAAGUAAACUUUCAACAUUCUGGACUUUGAACACUUAUGCAUCUUUAUGUAUUAAGUAAAA